GCCUGUUUGGCGCAGUGGUAACGCGUAGCACUUGUAUGUAACCGAUUCUGGUUGGUUACAGAAAUGCUAAGAUCAUUGGUUCGAUUCCAGUAAUAGGCA
rnacentral:tRNA from 1 species